GGGGAAUAUUGCGCAAUGGGGGGAACCCUGACGCAGCAACGCCGCGUGAAGGAUGAAGGCCUUCGGGUUGUAAACUUCUUUGAUUGGGGAAGAAAUUUGACGGUACCCAAAGAACAAGCCACGGCUAACUACGUGCCAGUAGCCGCGGUAAUACGUAGGUGGCGAGCGUUGUCCGGAAUUACUGGGUGUAAAGGGCGUGUAGGCGGGGAUGCAAGUCAGAUGUGAAAUUCCGGGGCUCAACCCCGGCACUGCAUCUGAAACUGUGUCUCUUGAGUGCUGGAGAGGAAAGUGGAAUUCCUAGUGUAGCGGUGAAAUGCGUAGAGAUUAGGAGGAACACCAGUGGCGAAGGCGACUUUCUGGACAGUAACUGACGCUGAGGCGCGAGAGCGUGGGGAGCAAAC
rnacentral:rRNA from 1 species